rnacentral:lncRNA from 1 species
AUAAAAGCCGGCCACCUAAGUCAGCAGAGGCAACCCACUUGGGUCCCAUUCCAUGCUGUGGAAGGUUUGUUCUUUUGCACUUCACAAUAAAUCUUGCUGCUGCUCGCUCUUUGGGUCCGCACCACCUUUAUGAGCUAUAUCACUCACUGUGAAGGUCUGCGGCUUCACUCCUGAAGUCAGCAAGACCACGAACCCACCAGGAGGAACAAACAACUCUGGACGCGCCACCUUUAAGAGCUGUAGCAACCACUGCGAAGGUUUGUGUCUUCACUCCUGAAGUCACGCCAGACCACAAACCCACUGGAAGGAAGAAACUCCAGACACAUCUGGACAUCUGAAGGAACAGACUCAGGAAACAAUCUUUAAGAACUGUAACACUCACCGCCAGGGUUCAUGGCUCCAUUCUUGAAGUCAGCCAGACCAAGAAGCCACCAGAAGGAACCAAUUCCAGACACGGGAGCACAGAUGUACCCUGAAUAUAUGCCUUCGUUACAGAAGCUUUUUGAGUUUUAAGACAUAUGCUGAAAAAGAAGUGUGGCAGUGGCUCACCACCUACGAAGAAAAAUCCAAAUUACUCUGUUUAAACAGGCAACCUUGAAAUACGAUAUGCACUGGAUUUGAGUUCUGUUAACUCUGUGUGAGUCACUUCUGGAGGCACGUGAGUGUUUUGAUAUCUGGGUCCUUGCUGAACCUAGGGCAACUGUGCUUCUUAGGGAUAGCUAGUUCUUUGUGAUUGCAAACAACUACCAGUUGAAAGAGGGAAAAUUUGUGGAAACAUGAGAAGCAAAGAAGAUCAAAGAAGAGCAGGAAGAGGCAGAGAGCAAAAAAGGUUUUUUUAAAGAAAGCCUCCUGUUACAUCUUCAGAUAACUCUGAUCUCUAGGAAUGUACUACUGUAUGAAGGACAAGAAUUAUGAGGUGAGAAUGUUACCGUGUGUACAAGUUGGAGUUUUCUGAAUGUUCGGUAGAGGUUCACAUGACGUUAGAAAAUAGGAGGACAUUUUUGGAAGAUGUGCAAACUUCUGGCAAGGGAGACAAGUUGCAGACUGGGAUCAGGCAGACAAAUAGAUUUCAAUGUGAAUCUUUAACUUAAUAGAGACUUUUCCGUAUUUUAAGUAGAGAAAUAAAUGUAUAUUCACACAUGUGGUUGUAUGUCAUGAUUGGAUGAUGAUUAAAGAGACAUUUUC